CCUACGGGAGGCUGCAGUGAGGAAUAUUGGUCAAUGGGCGAGAGCCUGAACCAGCCAAGUCGCGUGAAGGAUGAAGGAUCUAUGGUUUGUAAACUUCUUUUAUAUGGGAGUAAAGUGAGGAACGUGUUCCUUUUUGUAUGUACCAUAUGAAUAAGCAUCGGCAAACUCCGUGCCCGCAGCCGCGGUAAUACGGAGGAUUCGAGCGUUUUUCGGAUUUUUUGGGUUUAAAGGGAGCGUAAGUGGAUUGUUAAGUCAGUUGUUAAAGUUUGCGGCUUAACCGUAAAAUUGCAGUUGAAACUGGCAGUCUUGAGUACAGGAGAGGUGGGCGGAAUGCGUGGUGUAGCGGUGAAAUGCUUAGAUAUCACGAAGAACUCCGAUUGCGAAGGCAGUUCACUGGACUGCAACUGACACUGAAGCACGAAAGUGUGGGUAUCGAACAGGAUUAGAUACCCCAGUAGUC
rnacentral:rRNA from 1 species